GACGAACGCUGGCGGCGUGCUUAACACAUGCAAGUCGAACGGAAAGGCCCUGCUUGCAGGGUGCUCGAGUGGCGAACGGGUGAGUAACACGUGGGUGAUCUGCCCCUUACUUUGGGAUAAGCCUGGGAAACUGGGUCUAAUACUGGAUAGGACCAUGCUGUAGGUGGUGUGGUGGAAAGAUUAGUUUCGGUAAGGGAUGAGCUCGCGGCCUAUCAGCUUGUUGGUGGGGUAAUGGCCUACCAAGGCGUCGACGGGUAGCCGGCCUGAGAGGGUGGACCGCCACAUUGGGACUGAGAUACGGCCCAGACUCCUACGGGAGGCAGCAGUGGGGAAUAUUGCACAAUGGGCGCAAGCCUGAUGCAGCGACGCCGCGUGGGGGAUGACGGCCUUCGGGUUGUAAACUCCUUUCAGCCAUGACGAAGCCCUUGUGGUGACGGUAGUGGUAGAAGAAGCACCGGCUAACUACGUG
rnacentral:rRNA from 1 species